rnacentral:rRNA from 1 species
UCGGAUGUGAAAACUCGGGGCUCAACCUCGGAAGGUCACUCGAUACUGCUGUGAUUAGAGUCCGGUAGAGGAGUGUGAAUUUCUGGUGUAGGGGUGAAAUGCGCAAAUAUCAGGAGGAACACCGACGGCAAAGGCGGCACUUUGGGCCGGUACUGACGCUGAGGAGCCAAAGCGUGGGGAGCAAACAGGAUUAAAUACCCUGGUAGUCCAUGCCGUAAACCAUGGGACUUAGGUGUGGGGUCUUUCUACCCUUUUCCGUGCCGCAGCUAACGCAUUAAGUGCCCCGCCUGGGGAGUACGGCCGCAAGGCUAAAACUCAAAGGAAUUGACGG